CUUAUGGGAUUCCAAUACAAUCCCAUCAAGGUGGCAUGUACCAAUGCCAUCUUACUAGUCCAGGUGUUCAAUUUCAGUUCACAAUUGAUCAUACUGAUAGGUCUAGGAGUCAAAGGGAAUCACAUAAACAAGACUAGUGUCUGCUAAUAUGAACUAAUAGAGUAAAAAAAGGAGAGAAUGAUCCAACAUGGGAAGCGGGAUACACAGCAGAUUCAUAGAAUGGCAGAUGUCCUAAAUAGCACUCUAGCCUCAGAAUCAGCCCUUAAGGCAUUCGGAUCUGGCUGAAGAGCUCAUUUUCUUCCCUCUUAGUUCUGAAUACCUAAUUUUUAUUCACUUGUCUUUAAGUUCACUGAGUCUUUGCUCUCAUAACCCUGCUGUUCUAUUGACCUUGAACAUUUAAAAAAAUAGGGAUUGUUACUGGUUCUUAACAUUGUACGUGCUCCUUCUUUUAUAUGAGAGAGGGAGAAGGUGGGAACCCAACCUCUGGAUCACUCUCCAAAUGUCCACAAGGCUGGGAGCUAGGAACUCAGUCCAGGUCUCUCACAUGGAUGGCAGGAUCCCAAUUAUUUGAGCCUUCACCACUCCCGCCCAGAGUCUGAAUUAACAGGAAUCUGAAGUCAAGAGCCUGAGGGUUCUAAGAAAUUUGAAAUAAUUGAAGUAUCCAAAAGGAAAUUUUGAAGGGAAGAGGGAACUUGAAUUGACUGUUAAAGAUUCAAGCUGACAGAAAAAAAAAUGAUGUUCUGAAGGUUAAAGCUCUUGCUGGCUGGUGAGAUCCAGCUCCAGAACCCACUGAUGAGGUGUCGUCUCCAUUCCAGUGAGCUGUCAUAAGAGGAGAGCAUAGGAGACGAGAUAUGGGAGGUAUUUUUACAGGUGAUGUCUAGAAACAGAACACAUAAUGUUCGUUUGCAGUCCUCUGGCUAGACUUCAGUCACAUGUAAGGACUGCAAAGGAGCUCGUGACGUGUAGUCUUCUUAUCCGUGGGGAAAGGGAACUGGGUUUAAUAAAUAGCUUGUCUGCCUCUGCCACAUCAGAUACUUUCUAAGAUUACUUCUUGUAAAAUACGACACAAGUAUUAUUAUGAAUCUCCAUAUAUAUAUGCCUAAGGUGGAGAAAUUGGGUGAUCAUAAAUAAUCUAAACAAACAGCUGACUGUUGCUGUAUACAAAGUUUAGGAAACCUUGCUCCUAAUCACAGCUUUGUAGAAUAACUAUGGUAUGCAUUUCUCAUUAAACAACCAUUUCUGUUAAACAUUGAGGCAGUAUCUUCCUAUCUGGAAAGCAAGAACUACUCAAUUACACUUUUUCUCUUUUAUUGUUAUUCACUUGUAGUAUUUUCUACUGGAAUCUACUGGAAUCACUUGGUGGUUAAGAUUGAAUUGACAUCUGAAGUUAGAAAAAACAAAAAGACACCCCAGUAGUUCUAAAAUAGCAAAAUAGAACAUUAAAGUUAAGCUACCUCUCAGUCUGGUGAAGUUCCCAUAAAUCAGCUUCAGUACUGAAAUUGUUAAUUUUGUAGCUAGAUCUCCACUGAUUUCAUCAUAAGACAUAUGAGAGUGUGAAUAACAAAUCAUAUAAAAAUCCUAUUUUGUUCACCUUGAAUUUCAAUCAAUGUUUAUCAUGAGAAUGAAAGUACUUGGAGUGGUGGAAGCAUUGAAUUGAUUAAAGAUAAUGUAAUAUCAAAUCUAAUCAUCAGAGUAACAUUAACGUUUUCUACUGAAUGCAUUUUCAGGACAUAAUUUUUCUCACAUUUACCUUAAAAUUUGUUUUGCCUAUUUUCCCCUGAUAGCUGGUUAACUUGACAGACACUGUUUUCAUGGUAUUAAAAUGUUAAAUAUUUUAAGGUUAGAAGAUUUUCUGACAUUCGUCACUUGUGCACUUCCUGUAACAUUUAACUGUGAGUCCACAUUUCAUUUUCUCCCUUCAUGUUCCUGAUAGACUGAGUAAAAACCAGUGUUCAGUGACAGAAUAGUGGCAACGUUUGCUGCUCUAAAGUCGGGAUGUUUGAGCGUGAUGCCUGUGUGUCACGUGUGCUUUGCUCCAGGUCACCUGUCUAUUAAGCUUUCUGAGUUUUCUUUUUUUCUAAGUUUCUUUUCUGUGAGGAAAAGGGUAUAAAAUUUGAGUCACAGGCCACACGGGCCCACACUGGCAAAAGGCCAAAAGGAAGGAAGAGCCCGGGCACACCGCAUCCCAGGCUUUUAACCCACUUUCAAAGGAGAGUGGUUAAUUAACCUGAAUGGCCGGUGGGCACACAGGUGUGGUCAGCCAGGGGCCUGAGGUCACACGGGGGCAUGGUUAAGGCGUGGUCUUCCAGCUCACAAACCUAAUCAAUUUUAACCUGUAUGCCUGCCUACUUCAUUAGCACAUGAUAAUUGUCUUAUAAACAUUAUCAUGAUUGUGUUUAUUAACUCUUGGUGGUAGGCUUAUAUAUCAUGGAUAUCUUCAAGUAUCUGUACUAUGUUUAUUUUUCUAAGAUAAGCUUUUGCCUUGUUGAAAUCAAAGGAAAGAGUUAAAACAAAUUACUUUACCUUCAUUUUGAUACUACUCUCCUUAAUCCAAGGAGCCAAGCUGAUUUUACUUACUUUAAUCUUUGAAGAGGUGGAAUUCAUAUUAAUCUAAUUAAGUAUACUAGAAAUCUUGUAAUAAUUCUUCAAAUAUCAAAUUUCAUGAUAUUAAAAUCAAUAAUUGCCAAGUUAAUUCUUCACUUGAAAUGGGAGAAAAGAUAACCCAUUUCUGCACCUUUAGCUAAGUCAUACAAACUCAGAUUUCUUAGUAUCCCCAUUGCAUUUCUUUUCAAAAAUUUUCUUGGUCUACUGGAUUUCUAGUCACUUUUUAAAGGAAGAUAUCUUCAGUUAGUAUAACAGCAAGCACGCAAGCACUCAACUGCAUAUGAGUUGUUGUAGCUUUUUGCUAGGUAGAAAAAUAAUUCAAAUCUGAAUGUUGCCAUGACCUACCGCUCUCUGGCUAUGCAUGUCCCUGGAGUCGCCACAGUAAAAUGGACUAACAAUGCUGAAAUUCUUUUUUAAAAAAGAGGUAUGAAGACAUUCGUUUUGUAUUCAGAGGAAACCUCUGAAGUGUUGACUGAACACAAAGGCUUUUUAUACUUCUUGAAUUCCUCUCAAAUGUGAAUUCCAUUGUCCAGUAACAUGCCAUAGACCUACUUGGAAGCCUAGAUUUCUGGCCUCAUGCUGGGAGCUAUAAAUGUGUAAUUUCCCUCAGUAAGGAAAUGGUAGUUAUAAUCACAGUUUGAGCUUUAAUAGCUUUAUCAUUCACAUUAGAGUUAAUAGAAUAUUUAUCUGAUUAAUACCAUCAUCGAACACUUGUGUAUACCCUGAGGAAAAACCUGUUUUAACUCAAUGUUUGCCACUCACUCACUUGAUAAGCUUGGUUAUCUCAUCAAAUGCUGUGACAAAUUAGGAUGAGAUAGCAUGGGGGCUUAUUCCUUUCGUGUCUAACCAAGUUUAGACUUUAUGAGAGUUAACACCUCCCCAGGAUUCUUCCUGAAACCCAGAUAAUCAAUACUAUGGGUUAGAAUGUGUCCAGUGAGACGAGGAGCCAAGAAGUCCAUGUAUGUGGUGGCAAAUGUCGAACAGAUGUCAUAGUAAGAUCCAAGACAAAAGUACAGCACAGGGUACCUCCUGAGGGUCAGAUAACACGCACGACAACAUUUUGAAAAUUAUGGGCUGGUACAAUGGUGGGAGAUGAUAGCGUUGUUGUCUCUUGACAUAAUA